CCUACGGGAGGCAGCAGUGAGGAAUAUUGGUCAAUGGUCGGGAGACUGAACCAGCCAAGCCGCGUGAGGGAUGAAGGUACAGAGUAUCGUAAACCUCUUUUGUCAGGGAACAAAGGCGGGGACGUGUCCCCGGAUGAGUGUACCUGAAGAAAAAGCAUCGGCUAACUCCGUGCCAGCAGCCGCGGUACUACGGAGGAUGCGAGCGUUAUCCGGAUUUAUUGGGUUUAAAGGGUGCGCAGGCGGUCUGUUAAGUCAGUGGUAAAAGCCCGGGGCUCAACCCCGGCCCGCCGUUGAAACUGGCAGUCUCGAGUUGGAGAGAAGUAUGCGGAAUGCGCGGUGUAGCGGUGAAAUGCAUAGAUAUCGCGCAGAACUCCGAUUGCGAAGGCAGCAUGCCGGCUCCACACUGACGCUGAGGCACGAAAGCGUGGGUAUCGAACAGGAUUAGAUACCCUAGUAGUC
rnacentral:rRNA from 1 species